rnacentral:tRNA from 1 species
UCCCUGGUGGUCCAGUGGUUAGGAUUCCACACUUUAACUGUCAAGGGCAAGGGUUCAAUCCCUGGUCAGGGAA